rnacentral:tRNA from 1 species
GGGGGUAUAGCUCUGCUGGUAGAGUGCUUGCCUUUCAUGCACAAGGCCCUGGGUUCAAUCCCCAGCAUCACAA